CCUACGGGGGCUGCAGUGGGGAAUAUUGGACAAUGGGCGAAAGCCUGAUCCAGCCAUGCCGCGUGUGUGAAGAAGGCCUUCGGGUUGUAAAGCACUUUCAGUGGGGAAGAAAGCCUUGGGGCUAAUACCCUCGAGGAAGGACAUCACCCACAGAAGAAGCACCGGCUAACUCCGUGCCAGCAGCCGCGGUAAUACGGAGGGUGCGAGCGUUAAUCGGAAUUACUGGGCGUAAAGCGCGCGUAGGCGGUCUGAUAAGCCGGUUGUGAAAGCCCCGGGCUCAACCUGGGAACGGCAUCCGGAACUGUCAGGCUAGAGUGCAGGAGAGGAAGGUAGAAUUCCCGGUGUAGCGGUGAAAUGCGUAGAGAUCGGGAGGAAUACCAGUGGCGAAGGCGGCCUUCUGGACUGACACUGACGCUGAGGUGCGAAAGCGUGGGUAGCAAACAGGAUUAGAUACCCUAGUAGUC
rnacentral:rRNA from 1 species